CCUACGGGAGGCUGCAGUGGGGAAUAUUGCACAAUGGGGGAAACCCUGAUGCAGCGACGCCGCGUGAGUGAAGAAGUAUUUCGGUAUGUAAAGCUCUAUCAGCAGGGACGAGACAAGACGGUACCUGACUAAGAAGCCCCGGCUAACUACGUGCCAGCAGCCGCGGUAAUACGUAGGGGGCAAGCGUUAUCCGGAAUCACUGGGUGUAAGGGGAGCGUAGACGGCUGAGCAAGCCUGAAGUGAAAGGCGGGGGCCCAACCCCCGGACUGCUUUGGGAACUGUACGGCUGGAGUGCAGGGGAGGUAAGUGGAAUUCCUGGUGUAGCGGUGAAAUGCGUAGAUAUUAGGAGGAACACCAGUGGCGAAGGCGGCUUACUGGACUGUAACUGACGUUGAGGCUCGAAAGCGUGGGGAGCAAACAGGAUUAGAUACCCUUGUAGUC
rnacentral:rRNA from 1 species